CGCUGGCGGAAUGCUUUACACAUGCAAGUCGAACGGUAGAGGGGGCAACCCCUUGAGAGUGGCGAACGGGUGAGUAAUAUAUCGGAACGUGCCCAGUCGUGGGGGAUAACGUAGUGAAAAUUACGCUAAUACCGCAUACGAUCUAAGGAUGAAAGCGGGGGAUCGCAAGACCUCGCGCGACUGGAGCGGCCGAUAUCAGAUUAGGUAGUUGGUAGGGUAAAGGCCUACCAAGCCAACGAUCUGUAGCUGGUCUGAGAGGACGACCAGCCACACUGGAACUGAGACACGGUCCAGACUCGUACGGGAGGCAGCAGUGGGGAAUUUUGGACAAUGGGCGAAAGCCUGAUCCAGCCAUUCCGCGUGCAGGAUGAAGGCCCUCGGGUUGUAAACUGCUUUUGUACAGAACGAAAAGGUCUCUAUUAAUACUAGGGGCUCAUGACGGUACUGUAAGAAUAAGCACCGGCUAACUACGUGCCAGCAGCCGCGGUAAUACGUAGGGUGCAAGCGUUAAUCGGAAUUACUGGGCGUAAAGCGUGCGCAGGCGGUUAUAUAAGUCAGAUGUGAAAUCCCCGGGCUCAACCUGGGAACUGCAUUUGAGACUGUAUAGCUAGAGUACGGUAGAGGGGGAUGGAAUUCCGCGUGUAGCAGUGAAAUGCGUAGAUAUGCGGAGGAACACCGAUGGCGAAGG
rnacentral:rRNA from 1 species